GGGGCUGUUCUGGAUUCGACAGGAUGGUUCGAGUUUGGUAAGCAUGCGAUCGGCAUAUCUAAAGUGCACCCAGUAAAUAACUGGAAACCAAAAUUACGCUUACGCUGCUUAAGAAGAAGUAGCGAGUUCCCUUUAACCAGCCUACGGGCUAGAGCGAACUUCAGUUAGUAGGAUAGCGAAACAAGUCGCCGCCUUAGGCUUGUUAGCGAAAUUAAUAAGGCUGGUUAUUAGGUAGUGCGUUAGCUGGCAGCUUGAUAACGAGACAAAACAGAGAACUAAGCAUGUAGAAAACCAAAUGGUCGGUCAUUUUGGACCGGGGUUCAAAUCCCCGCAGCUCCACCA
rnacentral:tmRNA from 1 species